CUUCACCGAGCCCAGCAGCGCGGGGCGGCCGGCGGGCCGGUCCUGGCCGUAGGUGGCGAGCAGGGCCUGUGCCUC
rfam:Streptomyces autolyticus strain CGMCC0516, complete genome.